UUAUUUUAGGAAAAAAUAUAGGAAAUAUAAGUUUAUUUUAUUUAGAAGUCUAGUUUUAUUUGACUUGUAAUUUGUGAUUUCUAAUUAGAAUUGGAAUUAGAAUUCCUAAUCCUAAUGUGAUUGGGAUUGCAAAUACUCUAUAAAUAGGUUUAGGACUCUACAUAUUUGGUAGAUUUUCUUAUAACUAUUGAGUAUUGCUUUGAGAUAAUAAAUUGAGUUUCUCUCCCAAUUGAGAAUUUGUUUCUCACUCCCUAAUCCCCAAUACCCUAUUG
rnacentral:misc_RNA from 1 species